rnacentral:rRNA from 1 species
UACGUAGGGUGCGAGCGUUGUCCGGAAUUAUUGGGCGUAAAGAGCUCGUAGGCGGCUUGUCGCGUCGGAUGUGAAAGCCCGGGGCUUAACUCCGGGUCUGCAUUCGAUACGGGCAGACUAGAGUGAUGUAGGGGAGACUGGAAUUCCUGGUGUAGCGGUGAAAUGCGCAGAUAUCAGGAGGAACACCGGUGGCGAAGGCGGGUCUCUGGGCCGAUACUGACACUGAGAAGCGAAAGCGUGGGGAGCGAACAGG